UGCCAGGUUCCAUCAGCCAGGCACUGCCAGGUUCAUUACCCAGGCACUGCCAGGUUCAUUACCCAGGCACUGCCAGGUUCAUUACCCAGGCACUGCCAGGCUCACAGGCUGUGAGCUCCAGAGUCCUUCCCUGCUCACCUGGCUGCCCACCUGCACGUCCCCUCCCCCUGGCUCCACCUGCUACACCCCCUGUGUGGUCCUCACCCAUCUCAGAGCUGUUCCUGGUGCUCUGGAGAGCAGGAGCAGCAGAGUGACAGCAGGACCGUGUGUGUAAUGUCUGAGAGGCUUUUACUCCAUGUUGUUUUACUGAGAUGCUUUUAGGAUCCAUGCUGAACUGCUAUUCUUUAACCUUCACUGCCACAGAUUCUUUCUCCCCACCAUCUUCAUUUCAUACAGAUUGGCAAAAUACAUUUGACUUGGAACAAAAACCAACCCAAACCCUGCUGAUGGGAUAAGUUACUCCUCUUGACUGUGCUUUGAUUUGAUUUCUCAGGAUACCCAGAGGUUUUUCACUGCUGCUGAGAGGGGACAGUACACCUUUUUGGAGACUUCAACCACUGUAACAGUUUUCCAGAUGUGUGUGUGCGUGUGUGUGUGUGUGUAGCCCAGCACUGUGCGUGCGUGUUCUGCUGAGUAUCGUGUGCAUCUCUGAAACGCUUCAAACAACUGCCUGGAAGUCAAAAACCAACCACCUCUUUCCAGUCAUAUGUUUGCCGUGACUUUUCAUAACCACACUUGAAACUAGUGGUCUUGGAUGGAAAUAUUCAAAGAGCAGGGCAUCUUUAUAGCAAUGGUAUGUCAGUCGAAUUACAGAAAAUGUACACAGAAAUAAAUAAAUGAAAUUUGAAAGUGA